CCUGGCCACUCACUUUCUGAUGUUGCACGACGGGAAAUGCUUUGAAUACUUGCGACAUGGCCGCUUGCAUUGAUUGCCAAGAUUGACAGCUCUAACCAUCGUCUUCUGUUGUCUCAGAGCAAGAGAGGGGGAAAUAAAGAGGAUAGAUAACAACAAAAGCUCCUUGCAGUUUUGACAGUCUAACUUUAUAGAGAGAACGGGAUCCCCUCAUAUGGCCCGUGGACACAACAGCAGACUUUAGUUCUCUUUUGCUAGAUAGUGAUCAUUAUUUUAUAACAUAACAAACAGACACCGGGAUACAGCGAAGACCUGCGUCACCCUUGCUGACUGACUUUGCCAAGGACUAUCUGCACGUGGAUUUCGGAGAAACUCGAUUGAGGUUUUGCAAAAAGUAAAGAAGACUACAUUUCCGAACUGGAUCCAGCCAAACAGAUAUCAACUCUGAAGCAUAUGGUGCCAGUCAUUUUCAUGAGUUCAACAUCCACUAUUCAGUGAUCGCUGGGAGCUGGGGAUUUGGUAUUUCUGUUUGUGUAAGUAGCUUUUUUCUUCUAUUAUAUGUUGUUCUAUUAUAUGUUGUUCUAUCCAUCACAUCUAUCCUUCACCUCCGCUGUCUCCCCCUGCAGACCUCAUCGGCAUACAAGCACACGCACAGUUAGCCUGACACACAAAGCAUACUGUCGUACCAUUUCUAACAAAACGGUUUAUUAAAUGCUUCGUAAAUGCCUUGCAUUCCCCAAAUUCCAAACACCAAUAUCAUUUCAAGUUUUGUUUUUUCCACCUUGUUAAAAGUGCAAUAUACUGUGCCAAGUGUUCAGAUGUUUUUUUGAGGGUCAUGAGUCUAUGUCCACCUACACCAAAGGAUACAGAGCAAUGUCAUUGUUUUAUAGUUCUUAAUAUUUUCUCGAACUAGGUCGAUAUCAGGAGUGUGCCUUUGUCUGAGUUGAAGCUUUCAAACUUCUUGCAAAACAGCCAGUGAGUAAACAGCCAGAGAGUAUACACUACAGUACAGCAUUGGAAACUCUAUUCAACUAUUUCAUGGUUCUUCUCGUCUGAAGCACCGACAAUAAAGAGUAUACCCGAGAAAAAAGUUUAGGGAAUGUUGAUCAAAUAUAGCAGGAGAAAGUUUACCUGACAUUCAUAUUUUUUCAAAUGGCAGUGUGUGAUGUAUUCACCAACAGAGACAGGGCAGCCUAUAUUACUAUGAUCGGGGAGAGGGGAGAUUUCAUUGGUGGUGCAUAAUCAUUUGCUUGACAGCGUGGUUGCCCAGUAUCCCAUCUCAAAGUUCACGGCUGCUUAACCAUGUCUUGUCAAACUCUCUGCAGACGACCGACCCUGAUGGCUGGCGUGUCGUUUGUUUGUUUGUUUCGUUGUGUGAGUGUGUGUAGCGUGUGAC